rnacentral:rRNA from 1 species
CCUACGGGUGGCAGCAGUGAGGAAUAUUGGUCAAUGGGCGUAAGCCUGAACCAGCCAAGUCGCGUGAGGGAUGAAUGUUCUAUGGAUCGUAAACCUCUUUUAUAAGGGAAUAAAGUGUGGGACGUGUCCUAUUUUGUAUGUACCUUAUGAAUAAGGAUCGGCUAACUCCGUGCCAGCAGCCGCGGUAAUACGGAGGAUCCGAGCGUUAUCCGGAUUUAUUGGGUUUAAAGGGUGCGUAGGCGGCCUUUUAAGUCAGCGGUGAAAGUUUGGGGCUCAACCAUAGAAUUGCCGUUGAAACUGGGGGGCUUGAGUAUGGUUGAGGGAGGCGGAAUGAGUGGAGUAGCGGUGAAAUGCAUAGAUAUAACGCAGAACCCCGAUAGCGAAGGCAGCCUGCCAGGCCAUGACUGACGCUGAUGCACGAGAGCAUGGGGAUCAAACAGGAUUAGAUACCCGGGUAGUC